CGUUAUCCCAGUAUAUAUUCGAGUCAGUUGGCCCUUGUUGUUUGCCAGAUCGUAGUUUGUGCUCCCUGCCUGCUUCGUAUCCCGCCUGAUUUGAUUCUGCAUGUGGGUCAUCUCUGAUCUGUGACAGUACGAUCUGGCCAGGAAUGGACCCAGCAGAAUUUCAACACCUCUGCGCUCUGGUGGACAAGCAAGGCUCCGCUCUCAACACUCAUCAGAGGGAAAUGGCCACAGUAACAAAGCCGCUCGUUCCCCUGGUCUUGCAUCCCAGCCAUGAGCAACGUCUGCCUCCUCCCAGUGACCGCAGCACCCACAGCAAUGCAACACAACGACCGAAACACAUCCAAGAACUACAAGUAAACACAUCACUGUCCAAGGGAAUGAACGUCAGCCAGGAUGACUGUCAGAACUGCCAGUCUGCAUGGGCCAGCAGCUAGCCUGACCCACCCUGCCUCCAUGUCCUGUCAGACUGCCCUCAGUGCUCCCUCCUCGGGUGCAGCUCCAGGCAGGGGCCAUGGUCCCUGGGCCCACUAGACGAAGUAGACCAAGCUCUCCCAGGUGAUUCAGCGUCAGCUCUCCUAGCAAGACACCCUCAACAAACCUCCCCGCACGCCACACGACAUCAAAAACACCAUAGUCAACACCAGGUGAGGCCUCCAGGCCAGACCGCCCUCGCUGUUAUCGGAACUGCCGGUCUGCAAGUGCUAGCAGAUAGCUAAGCCUGCCCUGCUUCCGCGUCUUGUCAGACCGCCCUCGUUGUUACCUCCUCAUGCGCAGCUCUGGGCAAGGCCAUGGUCCCUCGGCUCACAGGACGCAGCAGACCAAGCUAUCCCAGCUGAUCCAGCGCCAGCUCCUCCA